rnacentral:rRNA from 1 species
CCUACGGGAGGCAGCAGUGGGGAAUCUUGGACAAUGGGGGAAACCCUGAUCUAGCCAUGCCGCGUGAGUGAUGAAGGCCUUAGGGUCGUAAAGCUCUUUCGCCAGGGAUGAUAAUGACAGUACCUGGUAAAGAAGCCCCGGCUAACUCCGUGCCAGCAGCCGCGGUAAU